rnacentral:sRNA from 1 species
GCUGGGUGUGGUGGCGCACACCUGUAAUCCCAGUGGUUCGGGAGGCUGAGACAAGAGAACUGCGAGUUCAAAGCCAACCUCAGCUAAAGCAAGGAGCUAAGCAAUUCGGUGAGACCCUGUCUCUA